rnacentral:rRNA from 1 species
CGCAUCUGUGCAUGCAGCAUAUCAAUAAGCGGAGGAAAAGGCUGCGGAACUGAACGACCACUACCUACGCUUAGGAUGUUGACGAGACUGUCGAUCUCAUCUAUACAUGACUCUGUGCAUAUCAAUAAGCGGAGGAAAAGAGGGCUAUUACCUACGCUUAGGAUGUUGACACACGCGCGUGCUCGAUGAUGGUCUUUACAUGACUCUGUGCAUAUCAAUAAGCGGAGGAAAAGCCCGGUACCUACGCUUAGGAUGUUGACACACGCGCGUGCUCGACUCUAUACAUGACUCUGUGCAUAUCAAUAAGCGGAGGAAAAGAGGGCCAUUACCUACGCUUAGGAUGUUGAUACACGCGCGUGCUCGAUGAUAGUCUAUACAUGACUCUGUGCAUAUCAAUAAGCGGAGGAAAAGGCUGCGGAACUGAACGACCGCUACCUACGCUUAGGAUGUUGAAGGUGUAGCACAUCAUACACGCAUGACACACUGCAUAUCAAUAAGCGGAGGAAAAGGCUGCGGAACUGAACGACCGCUACCUACGCUUAGGAUGUUGACGAGACUGUCUAUCUCAUCUAUACAUGACUCUGUGCAUAUCAAUAAGCGGAGGAAAAGAGGGCUAUUACCUACGCUUAGGAUGUUGACGCGCGUGUGUGCGUGAGUCUAUACAUGACUCUGCGCAUAUCAAUAAGCGGAGGAAAAGACUGCGGAACUGAACGACCGCUACCUACGCUUAGGAUGUUGACACACGCGCGUGCUC